ACUGAGAAAGCAGACUCAAAGAAAAAGACUUUAUUGGGUUAUGUGCUCAGUCCUCAUCAAGAUGCCAUAGUGAAUCAUUUAGUGCCUUCAAUAUGUGCCUGUGUACUGUAUACAUUUUUGAUUGCUGGAGAUAUAGGAGUGGUAAUUAGUCAUUACAGAAAUAAAGAUCCAAUUUGGGCAUCACUCACCAUAUUCUUCAUGUAUUUGCCUGUUUUGGUCAGCUUCAUUAUCAUUGUGUCGAACUGGGAGUUAUGGCCCGAGUUUCUGGUGUGUGGGCGCAAGAAUAUGACAUGGUUUUUACGGAAAGUUUCGGAACAUCUUUUUUUUCCAGUAUGGAGUAUGUGGAGGUUCGCAGAAAGAAUAUUCUGGUCUAUAGAAGCCAUAAGAGCUAAAGAAGAGGACUAUAUUAAAGAAUCGUUAAAAGUCGUUGCAGUCCCCCGUUCUAUAGAAUUGUACGUUUUCUUGCAAUCUUAUUUACACUCACUUCCGCAGGUUUUAUUGCAACUUUACAUAUUGAUGAGAUACAAUGCUGACAUGAAACAUGAAACAG